ACACGACUACGAGUUGAUCCUGGCUCAGAACGAACGCUGGCGGCAGGCCUAACACAUGCAAGUCGAGCGCCCCGCAAGGGGAGCGGCGGACGGGUGAGUAACGCGUGGGAACGUGCCUCUUGCUACGGAAUAGCCUCGGGAAACUGGGAGUAAUACCGUAUGUGCCCUACGGGGGAAAGAUUUAUCGGCAAGAGAUCGGCCCGCGUUGGAUUAGGUAGUUGGUGGGGUAAUGGCCUACCAAGCCGACGAUCCAUAGCUGGUUUGAGAGGAUGAUCAGCCACACUGGGACUGAGACACGGCCCAGACUCCUACGGGAGGCAGCAGUGGGGAAUCUUAGACAAUGGGCGCAAGCCUGAUCUAGCCAUGCCGCGUGAGCGAUGAAGGCCUUAGGGUUGUAAAGCUCUUUCAGUGGGGAAGAUAAUGACUGUACCCACAGAAGAAGCCCCGGCUAACUCCGUG
rnacentral:rRNA from 1 species